GGGGGAAUGAAGAUGCAUUACUUCUACACAAAGCGUGCAGUCACAGUGAAUAACGAGUGAUGUCUCUGGAAGAAGCCCUGCAGUCCUUUAUAAGGUGUAUUUGCUCUCUCAAACACUGAGAGUGCUUGGAACACAGCUAUUAUUUUAAAUCACCUACUAUUGCCCACAGUGAACGAACAGCCUGUAAAAGCAAGGAAAACUUUUUUGUUCAUAUAUGCAAUGAGGUCUCUUGCCUGGAAACUGACAUUAUCACCCACUGUUCUCAGCAUUCAGGUACUAGUGACUCAGAGUGGCUUAUAAAAUAUGAAGA
rnacentral:lncRNA from 1 species